CACGUAGGGGGCAAGCGUUGUCCGGAUUCAUUGGGCGUAAAGAGCUCGUAGGCGGCUUGUCGCGUCGACUGUGAAAACCCGCGGCUCAACCGUGUGGCUUGCAGUUGAUACGGGCAGGCUAGAGUUCGGUAGGGGAGACUGGAAUUCCUGGUGUAGCGGUGAAAUGCGCAGAUAUCAGGAAGAACACCAAUGGCGAAAGCAGCUUUCUGGGACGGUACUGACGCUGAGACGCGAAAGCGUGGGGAGCGAACAGG
rnacentral:rRNA from 1 species